rnacentral:rRNA from 1 species
GACGGAGGGUGCAAGCGUUGUUCGGAAUUACUGGGCGUAAAGGGCGCGUAGGCGGUCUGUUAAGUUCGGUGUGAAAGCCCCCGGCUCACCUGGGGAACUGCGCCGGAAACCGACAGACUCGAGUACCGGAGAGGAGGGUGGAAUUCCUGGUGUAGCGGUGAAAUGCGCAGAUAUCAGGAGGAACACCGGUGGCGAAGGCGGGUCUCUGGGCCGAUACUGACGCUGAGGAGCGAAAGCGUGGGGAGCGAACAGG